GCCAGAGUGGUGAAAUUGGUAGACACGCCACCUUGAGGGGGUGGUGAGGAAACUCGUGCUGGUUCGACUCCAGUCUCUGGUACCA
rnacentral:tRNA from 1 species